AUUAUAUUAUAGGAUUGAUAUUAUUCAAUUGGUAAUCUGAUUUUUUGAGUUAAAAGGCAUGGAACCAAAUGAAGAAUCUACCUUUUCUGUUUUCUGAGUUAAAAGGCAUGGAAGUCCAUUUGGUGAAGUAAUAUUAAGUAUGUCAAACACAACAUGUGCACACAAAAAAAUCACUAGAAUCACUAAAAAAUCAACACAAAACCACGAUAAAAAAAAAAAAAAAAAAAAAAAAAAAAAAAAAAAAAUUACACACAAUCAGACACUAUAACCAUCAUCCUCACACAUCAUCCCUACAUUCGAUCAACAAAAACAAUAUCUAUUUGGUGAAGUAAACAUUCUGUCAAACACAAUAUGGGCAGCAAAAAAUCACUAGAAUCACUCAAAAAUUAACACAAAACCAAGAUAAAAAAAGUUACACA